GACGAACGCUGGCGGCGUGCUUAACACAUGCAAGUCGAACGGAAAGGCCCUGCUUUUGUGGGGUGCUCGAGUGGCGAACGGGUGAGUAACACGUGAGUAACCUGCCCUUGACUUUGGGAUAACUUCAGGAAACUGGGGCUAAUACCGGAUAGGAGCUCCUGCUGCAUGGUGGGGGUUGGUAAGUUUCGGCGGUUGGGGAUGGACUCGCGGCUUAUCAGCUUGUUGGUGGGGUAGUGGCUUACCAAGGCUUUGACAGGUAGCCGGCCUGAGAGGGUGACCGGCCACAUUGGGACUGAGAUGCGGCCCAGCCUCCUACGGGAGGCAGCGGUGGGGAAUAUUGCACAAUGGGCGGAAGCCUGAUGCAGCAACGCCGCGUGCGGGAUGACGGCCUUCGGGUUGGAAACCGCUUUCGCCUGUGACGAAGCGUGAGUGACGGUAAUGGGUAAAGAAGCACCGGCUAACUACGUG
rnacentral:rRNA from 1 species